rnacentral:lncRNA from 1 species
CUUGGGGAGUGGAUGUAGGUGCAAAGUUGGCACCGAACCACUAUAAAUUCUUUUGUUUGUGGGUGCCUAAUUGUUCUUCUUUAACUCUUCAUUAUUCUCUUGCAUUCUAGCUUUUAGCCAUUAGCCUUGAAUUAAUUUUACUCUCCCUAUUUAUUUAGCUUUUGUCAAACAUUUUUCAUAAGUCAUAAGUUAAGCUUAAAAUUUUUAGAAACCCAAUUCACCCCCCCCC